GUCGAGCGGUAACAUUUCUAGCUUGCUAGAAGAUGACGAGCGGCGGACGGGUGAGUAAUGCUUGGGAAUAUGCCUUAUGGUGGGGGACAACAGUUGGAAACGACUGCUAAUACCGCAUAAUGUCUACGGACCAAAGGGGGGGAUCUUCGGACCUCUCGCCAUUUGAUUAGCCCAAGUGAGAUUAGCUAGUUGGUGAGGUAAUCGCUCACCAAGGCGACGAUCUCUAGCUGGUUUGAGAGGAUGAUCAGCCACACUGGGACUGAGACACGGCCCAGACUCCUACGGGAGGCAGCAGUGGGGAAUAUUGCACAAUGGGCGCAAGCCUGAUGCAGCCAUGCCGCGUGUGUGAAGAAGGCCUUCGGGUUGUAAAGCACUUUCAGUAAGGAGGAAAGGGAUGUAGUUAAUAACUGCAUUCUGUGACGUUACUUACAGAAGAAGCACCGGCUAACUUCGUGCCAGCAGCCGCGGUAAUACGAGGGGUGCAAGCGUUAAUCGGAAUUACUGGGCGUAAAGCGUUCGUAGGCGGUUGAUUAAGCAAGAUGUGAAAGCCCAGGGCUCAACCUUGGAACUGCAUUUUGAACUGGUCAACUAGAGUACUGUAGAGGGUGGUGGAAUUUCCAGUG
rnacentral:rRNA from 1 species